AUUGAACGCUGGCGGCAGGCUUAACACAUGCAAGUCGAGCGGAGAUGAGGUGCUUGCACCUUAUCUUAGCGGCGGACGGGUGAGUAAUGCUUAGGAAUCUGCCUAUUAGUGGGGGACAACAUUCCGAAAGGAAUGCUAAUACCGCAUACGUCCUACGGGGGAAAGCAGGGGAUCUUCGGACCUUGCGCUAAUAGAUGAGCCUAAGUCGGAUUAGCUAGUUGGUGGGGUAAAGGCCUACCAAGGCGACGAUCUGUAGCGGGUCUGAGAGGAUGAUCCGCCAAACUGGGACUGAGACACGGCCCAGACUCCUACGGGAGGCAGCAGUGGGGAAUAUUGGACAAUGGGCGGAAGCCUGAUCCAGCCAUGCCGCGUGUGUGAAGAAGGCCUUUUGGUUGUAAAGCACUUUAAGCGAGGAGGAGGCUACCUGGAUUAAUACUCUAGGAUAGUGGACGUUACUCGCAGAAUAAGCACCGGCUAACUCUGUGCCAGCCGCCGCGGUAACAC
rnacentral:rRNA from 1 species